GAUGAACGCUAGCUACAGGCUUAACACAUGCAAGUCGAGGGGCAGCACAGUGUAGCAAUACACGGGUGGCGACCGGCGCACGGGUGCGUAACACGUAUCCAAUCUGCCCGUUACUCGGGGAUAGCCUUCUGAAAGGAAGGUUAAUACCCGAUGGCAUUCAUUUGCGGCAUCGCUUAUGAAUUAAAGAUUUAUCGGUAACGGAUGAGGAUGCGUACGAUUAGCUGGUUGGCGGGGUAACGGCCCACCAAGGCUACGAUCGUUAGGGGUUCUGAGAGGAAGGUCCCCCACACUGGAACUGAGACACGGUCCAGACUCCUACGGGAGGCAGCAGUGAGGAAUAUUGGUCAAUGGUCGAGAGACUGAACCAGCCAAGUAGCGUGAAGGAUGACUGCCCUAUGGGUUGUAAACUUCUUUUGUUUGGGAAUAAAGUCAGGUACGUGUACCUGUUUGUAUGUACCAUUCGAAUAAGCAUCGGCUAAUUCCGUGCCAGCCGCCGCAGUAAGAC
rnacentral:rRNA from 1 species